UACGGAGGGUGCGAGCGUUGUCCGGAAUCACUGGGCGUAAAGGGCGCGUAGGCGGCCUGAUAAGUAGGGGGUGAAAAUCCUGCGGCUUAACCGCAGGGCUGCCUUCUAAACUGUCAGGCUGGAGCACAGUAGAGGCAGGUGGAAUUCCCGGUGUAGCGGUGGAAUGCGUAGAGAUCGGGAAGAACAUCAGUGGCGAAGGCGGCCUGCUGGGCUGUUGCUGACGCUGAGGCGCGACAGCGUGGGGGAG
rnacentral:rRNA from 1 species